AACGAACGCUGGCGGCAGGCCUAACACAUGCAAGUCGAACGCCGUAGCAAUACGGAGUGGCAGACGGGUGAGUAACGCGUGGGAACAUACCCCUCGGUUCGGAAUAACUCAGGGAAACUUGAGCUAAUACCGGAUACGUCCGAUGUUUUAAUCGACCUUGGAGAAAGAUUUAUCGCCGGAGGAUUGGCCCGCGUCUGAUUAGCUUGUUGGUGAGGUAAUGGCUCACCAAGGCGACGAUCAGUAGCUGGUCUGAGAGGAUGAUCAGCCACAUUGGGACUGAGACACGGCCCAAACUCCUACGGGAGGCAGCAGUGGGGAAUAUUGGACAAUGGGCGAAAGCCUGAUCCAGCCAUGCCGCGUGAGUGAUGAAGGCCUUAGGGUUGUAAGCUCUUUACCCGGGAAGAUAAUGACGAUACCGGGAGAAUAAGCCCCGGCUAACUUCGUGCCAGCCGCCGC
rnacentral:rRNA from 1 species